GUGUAUAGUGUAAGAUAGGGGUCUAGUUUAAUUCUUUUGCAUGUGGCUGUCCAAUGUUCCCAACACAAUUUGCUGAAGAGACUAUCAUUUUCCUAUUGUAUAUUCUUGGCUCCUUUGUCACAGACCAGCUAUC